AUUGAACGCUGGCGGCAUGCCUUACACAUGCAAGUCGAACGGUAACAGGUCUUCGGAUGCUGACGAGUGGCGAACGGGUGAGUAAUACAUCGGAACGUGCCCGAUCGUGGGGGAUAACGAAGCGAAAGCUUUGCUAAUACCGCAUACGAUCUACGGAUGAAAGCAGGGGACAGCAAGGCCUUUCGCGAACGGAGCGGCCGAUGGCAGAUUAGGUAGUUGGUGGGAUAAAAGCUUACCAAGCCGACGAUCUGUAGCUGGUCUGAGAGGACGACCAGCCACACUGGGACUGAGACACGGCCCAGACUCCUACGGGAGGCAGCAGUGGGGAAUUUUGGACAAUGGGCGAAAGCCUGAUCCAGCCAUGCCGCGUGCAGGAUGAAGGCCUUCGGGUUGUAAACUGCUUUUGUACGGAACGAAAAGACUCUGGUUAAUACCUGGGGUCCAUGACGGUACCGUAAGAAUAAGCACCGGCUAACUACGUGCCAGCCGCCGCAGUAAGAC
rnacentral:rRNA from 1 species